CCUACGGGCGGCAGCAGUGGGGAAUAUUGCGCAAUGGGCGAAAGCCUGACGCAGCGAUGCCGCGUGAGGGAUGAAGGUCUUCGGAUCGUAAACUUCUAUCAGCAGGGAGGAAAAUGACGGUACCUGACUAAGAAGCCCCGGCUAACUACGUGCCAGCAGCCGCGGUAAUACGUAGGGGGCAAGCGUUAUCCGGAAUUACUGGGUGUAAAGGGAGCGUAGACGGUAUGGCAAGUCGGAUGUGAAAGCCCGGGGCUCAACCCCGGGACUGCAUUGGAAACUGCCGAGCUAGAGUGUCGGAGAGGCAGGUGGAAUUCCUGGUGUAGCGGUGAAAUGCGUAGAUAUUAGGAGGAACACCAGUGGCGAAGGCGGCUUGCUGGACGAUGACUGACGUUGAGGCUCGAAAGCGUGGGGAGCAAACAGGAUUAGAUACCCGUGUAGUC
rnacentral:rRNA from 1 species